UAAAUUUUAUUUAUUAAUAUUAUUUAUUUAUAUAAUUUAUUUAAUAAAAAUAAUUUUAAUAAUUAUAGUUUUAGUAUUGUUUAAAGAAAUGAUAAUUUUAAUAAUAGUUUAUUUGUAUUGUAAAAGAAAAUUGAAAUAAUUUGAAAAAAAAAUAUAUAAAAAGAAAAUUUAAUUUAUUGUACCUUGUGUUUCAGUGGUUAGCAAUUAAUUUAUUAUUAUAAUAUUUUUUCUCGAGUUUUAAAGAUUUUAUUUUAUAUGAAAGUUACUGUAGAAUAAUUAUUUAAAAUAUACAAUAAGAAAUGAAAUGUUAAUCGUUUUAAAAUAUAUCUAGUUGUUUAAGAAAUAAAUUUAAUGUAGAUUUAUGAAUUAAAAAUUUUAUUUAUUUAAUAUUUUUAUUUUAUAAAACUUAUAUUUUAAGGGAUUAACUGUAAAAUAAAUUUUUAAAUUUUUAAUAAAAUGAUUAAUAAAUGUAAGCUUAAAAAUAGUUAUCAUUAAUAAAUUUGUUAUAAUUUAUUUUAAAAUUUUUAUUAUUUAUUGUUAAAUUAAAUUAUUUAUUAAAAUAUAAAUUUUAAUAAUAAUAAUUUAUAAAUUAUGAUAAAAUUAGUAUAUUUAAUUUAUAUAAAUUAUUUAAAAUGAAAGGUUUAAAUAAGGAAUUCGGCAAAUUAUAUAUUCACCUGUUUAUCAAAAACAUGUCUUUUUGUAUUUAAUUUAAAGUCUAACCUGCCCACUGAUAAUUAUUAAAGGGCCGCAGUAUUUUGACUGUGCGAAGGUAGCAUAAUCAAUAGUCUUUUAAUUGAAGGCUUGUAUGAAUGGUUGAAUGAGAUAUAUACUGUCUUUUUUAAAUUUUUAUAGAAUUUUAUUUUUUAAUUAAAAAGUUAAAAUGUAAUUAAAAGACGAGAAGACCCUAUAGAUCUUUAUUUUUGUUGAUUAUAAAUUAAAAAGAAUAAUUAAAUUUAUAGUUUAAUAAAAAAUUUUACUGGGGUGGUAUUAAAAUUUAAAAAACUUUUAUUUUUUGUUUACAUUAAUUUAUGAAUAUUUGAUCCAAUUUUAUUGAUUAAAAAAUUAAGUUACCUUAGGGAUAACAGCGUAAUUUUUUUUUAGAGUUCUUAUCGACAAAAAAGAUUGCGACCUCGAUGUUGGAUUAAGAGUUAUUUUUAGGUGUAGAAGUUUAAAGUUUAGGUCUGUUCGACCUUUGAAUUCUUACAUGAUCUGAGUUCAAACCGGCGUAAGCCAGGUUGGUUUCUAUCUUUAAUUAAAUAUUAUAUUAUAGUACGAAAGGACCUAAUAUAAAAAAUAUAAAUUUUAAUUUUAUGAAUUAUAUUAAUAUUUAAUAA
rnacentral:rRNA from 1 species